CCUACGGGUGGCAGCAGUGGGGAAUAUUGCACAAUGGGGGAAACCCUGAUGCAGCAACGCCGCGUGAGUGAAGGAGUAUUUCGGUACGUAAAGCUCUAUCAGCAGGGAAGAAAAUGACGGUACCUGACUAAGAAGCCCCGGCUAACUACGUGCCAGCAGCCGCGGUAAUACGUCGGGGGCAAGCGUUAUCCGGAUUUACUGGGUGUAAAGGGGGCGCAGACGGCGAUGCAAGUCUGAAGUGAAAGCCCGGGGCUCAACCCCGGGACUGCUUUGGAAACUGUGUGGCUGGAGUGCUGGAGAGGCAAGCGGAAUUGCUGGUGUAGCGGUGAAAUGCGUAGAUAUUAGGAGGAACACCAGUGGCGAAGGCGGCUUGCUGGACUGUAACUGACGUUGAGGCUCGAAAGCGUGGGGAGCAAACAGGAUUAGAUACCCGAGUAGUC
rnacentral:rRNA from 1 species